UACGUAGGGGGCAAGCGUUGUUCGGAAUCAUUGGGCGUAAAGAGCUCGUAGGCGGCCUGUUGCGUCCGCUGUGAAAUCCCGGGGCUCAACCCUGGGCGUGCAGUGGAUACGGGCAGGCUGGAGGCAGGCAGGGGGAGAACGGAAUUCCCGGUGUAGCGGUGAAAUGCGUAGAGAUCGGGGAGGAACACCAGUGGCGAAGGCGGCUUGCUGGGCCGGACCUGACGCUGAGACGCGAAGGCGUGGGGAGCGAACGGG
rnacentral:rRNA from 1 species